GCUUGAGUGGCUCAGUUGGUUAGAGCGUCGGUCUCAUAGUCUAUAUGAGUAGGCAGUGCCUGCGCAAUCCGAAGAUCAUGGGUUCGAUUCCCCUCUCGAGCA